AACUUUCUUAGUACAACGAGUACAUAUGACUUCCAAUUAUGAUAUCUUGGUUUAAAUCCAAGAGAAAGUA
rnacentral:tRNA from 1 species